CAGAAUCCUUAUAUUAACUUUUAUACAUAUUAAAUUUCUUUUCUUUUCUAUCCUUCGAUCCCCAUCUUCCUCGCAACCAUAAGACGUUUACUGCAGAAACCAAACUAAAUCCUUCUCUUCUCUUUCAUUAUGCUUUUUACUUUUGUUAGUUCUUUUUGUAAAUUCCAUCUCUAAUAAAAUAUUCAAGAACUUAAAUAUAUUUAGUUGAGAUGAGGAAACAGUGAAGAUCCAGAACACCGAUAGAAGAGAUGAGGAGUGAUUGUGGAUGCAGAAAAAAAAUUGCAGUGAAGGGAUAAAUAAAUUAUGACAAGGCUACAAAUAUUUAGCUGAGGUCAUUUUGGAUUAUAGGGGAUGUACAGGGUAAAAGUCAAAAUUUUAAAUUUUAACAAAUAGGUAUAUUAGGGAAGUUAGUGUUUAGAGUUGGCGAAACGAGUCAUUGUGUCGUGUUCGUAUCGUAUCAAAUUUAGAUUUAUUAAAAUACGAUUUAUUUAAUAAUUAUAUCAAAAUAUUGAGACCCCAACCCAACAUAAAAAAUAAAUGCGUUACUUAAUAAUCUGCUUAAUAUCUAUAUA
rnacentral:lncRNA from 1 species